rnacentral:lncRNA from 1 species
CUUGGGAGGCUGAGGCAGGAGAAUCACUUGGACCAAGGAGGCAGAGGUUGCAGUGAGCCAAGACCGUGCCACUGCACUCCAGCCUGGGCAAAAGAGUGAAAUUCUGUCUCACUCUUAUAAAUAAAAUAAAGUUAAUAAAACAAAAGCAAUUUACAUUCUACAGACAUACUAAUGAAUGACAUAAAUGAGGUAAUACGGUAUAAAACAAAAUGGAAAAAAUACAUUAUGAUUAUUUUCUUCAGUGUACAGAAGUCAUGG